UGAAACUGCUUGAUGCUGGUGUCA
rnacentral:siRNA from 1 species